rnacentral:rRNA from 1 species
GAUGAACGCUGGCGGCGUGCCUAGUACAUGCAAGUCGAGCGAACAGACGAGGAGCUUGCUCCUCUGACGUUAGCGGCGGACGGGUGAGUAACACGUGGAUAACCUACCUAUAAGACUGGGAUAACUUCGGGAAACCGGAGCUAAUACCGGAUAAUAUAUUGAACCGCAUGGUUCAAUAGUGAAAGACGGUUUUGCUGUCACUUAUAGAUGGAUCCGCGCCGCAUUAGCUAGUUGGUAAGGUAACGGCUUACCAAGGCGACGAUGCGUAGCCGACCUGAGAGGGUGAACGGCCACACUGGAACUGAGACACGGUCCAGACUCCUACGGGAGGCAGCAGUAGGGAAUCUUCCGCAAUGGGCGAAAGCCUGACGGAGCAACGCCGCGUGAGUGAUGAAGGUCUUCGGAUCGUAAAACUCUGUUAUUAGGGAAGAACAAAUGUGUAAGUAACUAUGCACGUCUUGACGGUACCUAAUCAGAAAGCCACGGCUAACUACGUG